AAAUUAGCAAGUUCGCACAAUAAGCGAAAUUUAUAUCUAUAUUGGGGAUUUGCCAAUAUACUCAUAUGGCAUAUGGGUGAAUUUAUCUGCACUAUUUCGGUCACCAAGUGGAGCAUACUACUCACAACGAAUUUUGGACAAAUUAUCAAACCCCGCAACACAAUUUGACUAUUAGGACAUCACUUUAUGGGUAAUGCGAGACAGCCACAAAGCAAAGAAUCAUAACUUAUUUUAUUCGGUGUGAUUUGCAUAAUUCGAUGAAAAUAUGGAAGAUCAAAUAAUGACACGAAAUACUCAGGGGGACUGAGAUUUUAUAGUCAAAAAAUAAAAUAGAUCAUUCCAUAGAGGAAUGGACAAAAGCCCCCUUGGUAUUUUCAACUACUGUUGUUCUUAAAUGAACAAGAUGUACCCAGGGCAGCGAUUUCCAACCUAUCGGACGAGGAAGAAAUAAAUAACACUGCAACAGCGUGAAUCGAAGGGUAUGUGGAUUAUUCAACAAGUCGGCUUCACUGAACGCAGCCAAUUCAUUUGCAGUUAUCAAUUUUUCUAGUUCUCAAUUUUUUAGCACUGUAGCACUUAUGCACUUGCCCCCUACUUCUGAUUUUAUCUCAGUCUCUGUUAUUGAUUGGUGUAUUAAAAUUAAUCAAUAUUUAGAUACAUUUUCUCUUCGUUUGCAUAAUUCAUUGUAAUUUUUCUUUAUGAAAAUAAUCAUCUUCAGAGAAAUGUAGUGAACAAAUUUUCAUGUAUUCUUUUUCCAAAUAAACGUUGAUUUUCUCUUUGUUCAGAAAAAUGAUUGGAGACAGAAGAUGAGCUUUCAUUCAUACACUGCAACAGUUAUUGUAUGAAAGCACCAUUUCGAAACAAUAAAAUCGAAGAAUUUUAUCGUUGAAUGAAAUUGAAACAAAUUUGGAAGAGGGUUGAAGGAACGCUAUAAACUGAAAAACAAUGAAAUAAUAAUCUAUUAUAGAAUAUCACAAAAAUUAUGAAAAUGAUGCAAAAGCUCAGAAUUAAACAAUUAGUAUAGGAAAUGUUUUGGCAUCCACUUUUUCAAAUGCAAUGUGAUAGUGUGUAAAAUAUUUCUUGUAGAAAGAGUUGUAUGUUGUAGCACAACCUGUUUAUUAAAUUAAUGUAGAGCUUUUUAUAGUGUCAUAAACUAUGUUCUAAUUUUCGUUUUUUUUUUAAAUGGCAAUCAAUAUUCAAUAAUGCAUGGAAGGGAAUUUAAAAAGACAUAUAAAAACUUAAGGUGUAUUUAAAAAAAUCACAAUAUACUUUUAAGUACAAAACAUGACGAAAUAAAAUGGAAUGUAUAAAAAUUGCACUAACUAAACAUACAUAAUCCUAAGUACAGUACGGUUCAAGUCACAAAAAUGAUAAAAGUCUCCUAAAAUUACAUUUAAAUAUUGAGAUCUUAUAAAAUAGUUUUGACUAAGUCUAUCUCUUGACACAAAUUUUUGAUUUUUCAAUUUCAUUUAUACAAAAUACGAUGUGAUAUAUUAAAAAGCUUCUUAGGCACGAUUUUUUACAAAUAUUACGAAAAAUAGGUUCCUUAUUAGGCAAAAAUAAAUAAAGGGCACGUAAACUUUUCAAAAAGUCUUUUUCUCAUACACUAGAAAAAAAUUGCUUAACUACUCAGAUUACAUUUAUUGUAUAUGAAAUAUCUUCGUAGAUGAAAGCUCACAAAGGAUAUUAGUCUAUUGCCCUUUUAUAAGGAAGGAGAGGAUAAUCUCCCACAUAUGUGAUUAUACCAACCAUAGCAAUUUUAAUCACAUAGGUACUACCCAAUUAAAUAAAUAAUUUAUGCUUCUAAAUGUUCUUGACUUUAGGUCUCUACUGGUUAGUUUCAAAAUAUUUUGAUAAAGACUAAAAGAAGUAGAAACUUCAAAUUUUCAUCUGUCUUUAAAAAAUUUAGAAGAAACUAAUUUUAAAUAAGACUUAAAAUCAAUAACAUUUAGAAGCAUAAAUAUAUCAAAAGGUCUAAGAACAAAGAAAUUAAAGAAAUUUAAAUAAUUUAUUAGAUUUGAACCAGACCAGUCUUUUAGUACAUAAAAUUAUCAAAAUGGAUGAAAAAUUGAAAAUAACCGUGAAAAUUCGAUUUUCUUUAUACUAUGACGAACAAUUGAGAAAGAUGUACUGGUUCAUAACACCCGGUGUUUUGCGAAUUUAAUUAUUUAACAUGAUUUAAUAUUCGGUGUGUAGAAGCAAAAUUACCAAAUAAUUUGUGACACUGUAGUUAUUGGCGAUGGUUUAGGCUGAUAUGUUUUUAGUGUUUAGGGCUUGUCUGAGAAUUGCCAGGUGCUUCUAGUAAAAUCAUUUAUUUACAAAUUCCUACUUCAGAUUUUAUAUCAAUAUAUUAUAUAUAAUAUUAAUUAGUCACAAUCACAAAAAGAUUUUAUUCCUGUAUAGUUGUAGAUGUUCCGAAACAUAAGAAAUUUUGUGCAUUAUCAUAAAAAAUUAAUCAAAACCAAAACGUGAUUUUUCCCAUACAAAACACAACAACCAUCGAAUUUGGAAAUUUUUUGAAAGCAUGACAUCAAUUUAGUAUGUUCAAGAGAAGCUACAGCAAACGCAAAUACAACAUUCGAUGGAGUCUUUGUAAUAUUCUGCUCUCAAAAUUAAAACUUUUCAUAGAAACUUCUCUUUAUAAAUUUAUAUUUGUGUUAAUAUUUACUGAUUGCUAAUAUAAUUGAAUACUAUAUGUAAAAAAAUUAAUCCCUUUGCUUUUUUGACAGUUUAAUAAUUGAUAUUUUGCUGCUGGAAGACAAGCUGGUCAAUUCGUUGAUUAUGAAUAUGGUAGUGUUUCUAGUAUAGUUAUUAAGCAAUGAGUGUCUUCUCCAAUUGUUUGUCAACGUACAGUUCGAAAAUAUGUAUUUUGGAUGUACUCAACAGUAUUACUUCUAGUAAUUCUCUAAAUAGUCUUGCCUUUUGUGUGCUUUCAAAUCUACGAAAUUUUUAACACUAUUUAAAGUUGAAAAUGAUGUUUGAUCAUCUCUCGUCUGAAUGUAUGUAUAAUAGAUAUUUAUUUUGUAAGAUUGUUUUCUUUAGUGAAUAAAAUUUAUCUAAAAUACUUGUACAAUAAAACGUUUUAUUCACAAUCACAUUCAUUUAGAAUCAGAUUCGCACAAAUUUUGACAUUUUGCUCUGAUUAUGGAGGGUAGAUGUAAGGAGAUAUCAAUUUAAAAUUAAUACUUUAUAGGUAAAGAACACGAACUUUUACUGUAUAAUUUUUACAUUUAGGGAAAUACAAUUUUAUUCCUUAAAUUUGUAAGCAAAGAUGCUUUGAGAAGGGCGUGAUAUAGAAAUAUAAUUUUUCUCUUUUCAAUCUUGUUCUAUUCUAUUAACUUUAGGCGCUAUGUUACAGAUUUCCCUUAUUUCUACUCUCUAUAGCUCUGAUAAUAGCUUUCACUUUAAAGUAAGAAAAACAUUUUUCUAAUACUAAUUGUUCCUUACAAUAAAAGAUAUACAUUGAUUCUACAGGCACUAUGCUUUCGACAACCAAUGGCUCUACAAGCUUGUUAAUGGAAACGAAGUAAAAUAUAAAAUGAAUAAGUAAAUUCUGAGUGAUCAAGAUUAUAUAUAUAUUUGAUUAUUCUACUUGUUAAAUAAAGUUACUUCAUUAUUAUGAUAUAAACUGAUACUUUAUAUUGUUUAUAAAGUGAUUGUGAAUAAUGUUAUUUUCUAUAAUUUGCAGCCAUGAUUUUGAUUUAAGUUUGAAAAUAUUUCUAUUAUUUGAAAUGGGUCAAACUUCAUUUUUUUUUUCUUCGAAUAAUAUAAAUCAUUUAGUAAGGCAUAAAACAGGUUUGUACCAGUAUUUUUUUGUUAGAAAACAAGCAACAUUUAUAUUAUUCCUCAAAUACAGAAUCAUAAAUGUUUAUACUGAAAUUCCUGUGGCAAAAAGAUUUCUACAAAUAGGCAAAUAUUUUUUUACAUAACCACUAUUAAAAAUUGUGCUAUGCUAAUUUUUAGAAUGCCUUCACGUUAAAAUUUAACGAGUAAAGCUUGGUUUAUGCAAACAAAAUUAAAAAUUACCAUUAAACUAACAAAACUUGUUGAAAGACACAAUAGUACUUGUUCAUGCAGAAAAUUAACAUUAACUUUAAAUUAAAUCAAACUAAGAGUUUUAACUUCUUAGUUUAAUUAUUUAAUUUUGUGAGGUGAUGAACACAGAAUACGUCAGAUCAGUCUGUAUUGGUGGUAUUUUUUGUAUACAACAUCCUUCUUCUUUGGUUAUGGAAAUAUUAUUCGCCUUAUUGCGCCGCUUUCCGCCGUGGUGUUUUAUUUUUAAAACUGAUAUUAAAAAAAUGGGAAAGAGCAAUGUCUGAAAGUUAGGAAUGUCUUUUAGACGAUGGAACACUGAUAGACAGUGUCAGGAGCCUUCCGCAUUUGUAUAACAAAAGGAACUCAUACAGGUUUUAUUGGUUUACCUGUAAUUUAUAAUAAUCCUUAAUUUACUACAUAAACCAAAAACUUAACAAAAAAGUUUAAUUCAAUGUUAAUUUAGUUUUAAUUUUGGCUGCAUAAACCCAGAUAAAUUUGGUAUAUAGUAUCAGGACCGAGCCUAGGGUAUCCACCGCCCGGGUGCAAGAACAAAAUGUGCCGCCCUAUUAGCAUACCUAGUCGAAAUUUGAUUAGUGAGGCGAGAUAUGUCUAGUCUAGUUUUUGGGGCAAGCGGCUUAUUCUUUAUUAUUACCUAUUUAUUAUCUUUUUUACGCCGCCCGAUUCGCCCCAACGCUCAACGCAUAUUUUGGUAUUGUUGUAAUAAUAAGAAAACAAUAUUUUUGCAUUAUAGGGUUCUGUUAUUUUUUUAGAGACAUUUUGCCUUUUCCCGCCCGGGUGCCAUGCACCCCCGGCACGGCUCGACCCUGUAUUGUAUUAAAUGUGUUGAAAAUGAAGACGUAUAAGGCUACAAGUAUAAGUUAUGGAAAAGUAGGUUACCUACGGCAGUAUUGAUAAAUGGAAUAAAUAUUGACCAAAACAAUUGAAGUAUUUAAACAAAUUUUUGAAAUUUUUCCGGAAUGGCACUGAAAAUGAUUUUUAUUCCUAAUUAUAUGUUAAUAUCGUGCUUUAAAUUUUUUGUAUGAACAAGAUAAUAAAAACCUCAAUUUUUUGAUUUCACAACAAUUUGAUGCAAUUAUUUAAAGCUUUAACAAAAUAUUUGAUUUGGGCAACAAUGAUGAAUAUCAAGACACCAAUUUAUCAUUAUAUUCUGAUUUAAUUCAUUAUAUGGAUUACAUAAGGUGGUCUAGAUUAAUGUUUAUCAAUUUCUAGAGCCGAUAGUAAAUUUAAAAAUAUUAGUCCUUUUUAUGUACAUUUUGGUCUAGAUGCUAUAUCUAUAAGGAGAAAACAUGUGUGGAAGCUGACUGAAGUAAUUAUGAUACCUAAGCCCAAAGACUCUUCUACAAGAUAUUGGUCGGUCUACUUGCAUUAACCACGAAUUAUCCAAUUUUGUGAAGUCACAAAUUGUCCAUUCGAGGAUUGAGGAUAAUAUUUCUAAGCUAAAUUACAGCUGUUUUAGUAUUUUAUGUCGAAUCGAGUGUAUAAAUUUUGCAGUAAAGGUAAGUUAUAUAACAAUUUUUUUUGUUUCUGUUACUUUACAAUAACAAGUUGUUUUGCAGGACCAAUUGCAAGAUAUCAGUCUCAUUUUGUGCUGUAUUUGGAUGUAAAUGGAACUGUAAAAAGACAGGAAUUUACAUGAAAAAAAUCUCAUUAUUUAUGAUUGUUGUUUGUUAAAAUUUUACAUUUACAGUCUUGCCUUGAAAUUUAGUUCUAUUCAUUCUAUUCUUUGUGGAAGAGUCUUCUAUCUAAACCGGGGAAACUUGAAACUUGUCUAUCAUCAGAAUAUUUUAAUGAAAAUAAUUGAGCCGAUUUUGACAGAAAAGUUUAAGACAAACACUCUACACUUGAGCAGAUACAUAGAAUAUCAGAUAUAACUGAAAGGUCACAUUAAGACGGGACGAUAUGUUACCGUAUUUUUAGAUAUAUCCCAGGCAAUUGACAAAAUCUAGCAUGCUUGCUACAAUAUACAAUACAAAUGAUAUUUUCAAAGCAAAUUUCCUAUAUACGCCUCAAUAUACCUUUAUGUCUUCAAGUGACCUUUAAAUUAUAUUUAAUGUUCUAAGUACCUUCUCAAGGGUAGAGUGUUUCCAUUCCAAAUUGAUGAUCUGGUAUUAUAUGUUUUUUCUCCAAAACCGGUUUAAUUAUUUUCUUGAAAAUAAUGGAUACUAGUGAGGUAAGUCUGUAUAACGUCAAUUUGAUUUUCGGUUUCCCUGGUUUAGGUACCAUAAUAAUUUCAGCUAUCUAUACAUCAGAACAUAUUUUAGGCUUGAGUUUUGGUUUUUAUUAAAUUACGCUGACUUUUCGGUGACGAUUUCGUCCUUAUUCAAUCUACUAUGGAGAUAAAGAGUGGGUUCUAUUAAACUUCGAAUCGAAUCAGACACGAUUAUCCGUUGAAAAAAUUCCAUAAGAAUCAGAUCGUGUUUGAUUUCAACUGAAUAUUUCGUGGUAGUUAUUGUUUCCGAUGUAGUAAAUGAAGAAAAAUACCAAAAUAUCUUGGAAACAAUACAUUAAGCUGUUAUUUUAAUCUGUAGAUGGUGAACAUUUAAUUCAAAUAGUUUUUCUUUGUAUCUAUUUUUACAAUUGACUAUACUGGUACUAUUGUGGACAUCAUGAUUUUUAUUUCAAAUUUUAGUACAAACAGAAAUAAUCAUUUUGCUAUAACGGAAGACAAUCCAUAAAAAUCGAUUUGGAAGGAUUUUCCGUGUUACCUUAGCGGAAUUUUCCUUAACGGAAUUCAAUAAAAACGGAAACUUUUUAGUUGCAGUUAUCAAGUGUAUCAGUUUUUGUACAGCUAUUUUUGGUUUAUGCUACUGAAAUUAAGUCUUUAGCUGAUGUUUUUUUUUAUAUUGAUAUUCUCUUUAAUCUCUUUAGCUACUUCUUUCGGUGUCUGAUUCUUGGAAACAUCUGUAAAAUUUUCUUUCUCACUUUUUCGGUUUAUAUAUGUCUUAAAAAAAUAGGUUUUUUUUUUAGUUCAUGCUCCUGAAAUUAGGUCAUAUCGUGAUGAUUUCUUGAGAUUGAUAUUCUCUUUAGCUAUUUCUUUCGGUGUCGCUACCCUUGUAUCUGCUGAUUCUUGGGUACAUCUUAAAAAUUUUCUUUCUUACUUUUUCGGUUUACAUAUGUCUUAAAAAAACAAGGUUCUCAAUUUACUUAUAUUAAUGUAAAUAAUUCUGGACCACCUUCACCUGAUAUAUUAUCCUUCUUGAUGGCCAAGCGCCCAGGUAGGGCUGCUCUUUCUUUGUUUAGUUUGUUGAGGGUUUAAUACAAUGCAAUUGAAUAUUUUCAUAAAGAUUUGAACAAAUACAUAAAAGCAUUUGAUUUAAUUUUAAAUUAUCGACAAAAUAUUUAUCUUUCUCACUUAAAUUCGGAAUUUUGGAUUGUUUUAAAUUUCCACAGUCUUAUAUUGGAAUGUUUCAGUUAAGAAGAAUGUAUUUUUAUGAAGGACUAAAAGUCUCUCUCAACUAAAAUUAGAAGAAACCAUAUUUUUAACAACUAAUUUUAAAAUUUUUGGUUUGAGUAUAUAGAUUCUUUGAAAAAAACAUGGUUUCAAAUAUUCUUAUUGUAUAUAACUAAUUUGUUGCUAUUUAUAUAAAGCUGAGUAUUACAGGUAUAUAUUCUAAUUCUAUUUUCAAAGCGAAUAUAUAUAGCAGUGGUACAUAUUGUGGACAUAAUAACAACUAAUUUACAUGAUCAGAAUUCCAGUGACAAUUUUGGAGCGAAAACCUAUGGAAUCCUAACCAUAUAUAAUCUUAUAUAGUUUUGAAGAUCGUUCAUACAUGGAGUGAAGUAAUUGGUCCGUGAACAACGAAACAAAAAUUCAUCAAGUUUUAUAAUUUGAGAAUGAGUAAACUAUGAUCGCUAAAGAUGUAUAAGUUUAAUGAUUCAAAUUAAUGUUUGUUGCCGGUUUUUAUUAAAACCUUGUGGUAAUUAAAAGAAUUUGACGAUAAUUCACUUGUUACAAUCAGAAAAUUACGCUGUAGAGGUGCAGUGAGUUUAAAAAAAUGCAAUUUUGCCACCAUCCAUACAAAAUAUUUGUUUCUAAUUUCACGUUUUACACCAAGCCGCUAUAUUUUAAAAAAUAAUUUAAUAAAUUAAUUACAUGUACUGCAAGUAAAAUCAUGAUAUCAUUGGAAUUUUUUCUUAAUAUAUUUAAGUAAAUUGUAAUUUGGUUAUUUAAUCGUCUCAAAAUAAAUAAGCGAAUUUAAUCAUUUUGUUUUGACGUUUUCAUAAAACAAUGAAUUUAUAUCAAACUACCUGUAAUCACUUUAUUGCAAUUACCGAUAAUUGUUCACCAUCAAAUCUACUUUUAGCAAUUAUCUACCACUUAACUGUACAUAUGAACAUAAUUUACACAUUCUCAACUGAAAAAAUCAUGUUUUAAUAGAAUGUAUCGAUUCAGUAAUAAAAGAUCCUAAUAAAUUAUGAAUAAUAAAUAUUAGUACUUUCGGUUUAAUAGUCUCUUAAGUAUCAAUAUAUUAAAUUUUAUUUUUUGAAACGACGGAGAAAAAUAUUGAGCAUAAUCAAUUUUGUAAAAAUUACGAAAAAUACAUUAGCAACUGAAAAUAAACGCUAAACUGAU